UCGUAACAAGGUUUCCGUAGGUGAACCUGCGGAAGGAUCAUUAAAUAAUCAAUAAUUUUGGCUUGUCCAUUAUUAUCUAUUUACUGUGAACUGCUAUUAUUACUUGACGCUUGAGGGAUGCUCCACUGCUAUAAGGAUAGGCGGUGGGGAUGUUAACCGAGUCAUAGUCAAGCUUAGGCUUGGUAUCCUAUUAUUAUUUACCAAAAGAAUUCAGAAUUAAUAUUGUAACAUAGACCUAAAAAAUCUAUAAAACAACUUUUAACAACGGAUCUCUUGGUUCUCGCAUCGAUGAAGAACGUAGCAAAGUGCGAUAACUAGUGUGAAUUGCAUAUUCAGUGAAUCAUCGAGUCUUUGAACGCAACUUGCGCUCAUUGGUAUUCCAAUGAGCACGCCUGUUUCAGUAUCAAAACAAACCCUCUAUCCAGCAUUUUGUUGAAUAGGAAUACUGAGAGUCUCCUGAUCUAUUCUGAUCUCGAACCUCUUGAAAUGUACAAAGGCCUGAUCUUGUUUAAAUGCCUGAACUUUUUUUUAAUAUAAAGAGAAGCUCUUGCGGUAAACUGUGCUGGGGCCUCCCAAAUAAUACUCUUUUUAAAUUUGAUCUGAAAUCA
rnacentral:misc_RNA from 1 species